UGGAUGAGAGCCCCCUGGCUAGCCAAGAAGACAUGCCGAUGCAGCCACAUUGCAAUCGCCAUGGCUGAUGGAACUGCCAACAGAAGGCGUGCAUAGGCAAGUCAUUCUUGGCUACCAGAAGGGGCUCUCCGUCU
rnacentral:pre_miRNA from 1 species